AAGACCUCCAUUGGCGGCACUCGCAUUAUUGGACGCCUUUGUGCAGGAAACAAAAAUGGGCUUCUCUUGCCCCACACCACCACUGACCAAGGGAGAAUCAAGUUGUCAAUUCUUCAUAUGGGUCGAUAUACUUUAGCUGAUAGAG